UGUGGAGUGGCGAAAUAGGUAAACGCAACCAGUUGUUUACUGGUCGAGUCGGGGCAGACUUUUGAAGGUUCGAAUCCUUCCUCCACAGCCA
rnacentral:tRNA from 1 species